rnacentral:rRNA from 1 species
CUGUAGCAAGGUUAACCGAAUAGGGGAGCCGGAGGGAAACCGAGUCUUAAUUGGGCGUUAAGUUGCAGGGUAUAGACCCGAAACCCGGUGAUCUAGCCAUGGGCAGGUUGAAGGUUGGGUAACACUAACUGGAGGACCGAACCGACUAAUGUUGAAAAAUUAGCGGAUGACCUGUGGCUGGGGGUGAAAGGCCAAUCAAACCGGGAGAUAGCUGGUUCUCCCCGAAAGCUAUUUAGGUAGCGCCUCGUGAAUUCAUCUCCGGGGGUAGAGCACUGUUUCGGCUAGGGGGCCAUCCCGGCUUACCAACCCGAUGCAAACUGCGAAUACCGGAGAAUGUUAUCACGGGAGACACACGGCGGGUGCUAACGUCCGUCGUGAAGAGGGAAACAACCCAGACCGCCAGCUAAGGUCCCAAAGUCAUGGUUAAGUGGGAAACGAUGUGGGAAGGCCCAGACAGCCAGGAUGUUGGCUUAGAAGCAGCCAUCAUUUAAAGAAAGCGUAAUAGCUCACUGGUCGAGUCGGCCUGCGCG